rnacentral:tRNA from 1 species
GAGGAUAUUGCUCAGUGGUACAGUGUGUGCUUAGCAUGCAUGAGGGUCUGGGUUCAAUCCCCAGUGCCACCG